AUAGAGCAAUCGAUACUUUUCUGUUAAUAGCAUAUAUAUGUAAUUAUUUUUUUCUGUUUGUUUAAACUUGGCUUUUUUUUAUUAAAGAUUCAAAAGAAAAUAGGAAGAGGCUCAAAGUGAAAGUUAGGGAUGUUCUAAAUUUAUCUGGUAAAGAACGUAUCGUGCUUGAAUUCGAUUACCCGGACGAACCAUUUGGAGAAGCACAAGGCCUUCUUGCUGGCUUUUGUGGAAUUUUAGCAACUGACUGCUCCUUAUUUCCAAUUCACUUUGAGAAAUGGCCAGAUUUACCUAUAUCAUACUUCGACCAUGUAUUUGAUCAAAUUGUAAAGGUAUAAGCUCUAAUUCUUUCUGCUACACGUCUAUAUUAUUUUUGGACUUCAUAUUUGCAUGUAGCAGAUAAUCUAACCAAUGUUAUAUUCUUGAAGCAACAGUUUUAUUUUAAGACAGUCGAGUCAGUUGCAUGACGUUAUGUUUAUAAUUCUAUUUGAAAAAAGUGGAGCGCGAAUAUGCUAAACUUGUGGAGAGCAUUCUAUGAUCCACUCAAAAGUACAGCUCAGAUUAUGGAAAAUAUUCCGGCUGGGAUUCUAUGGAAUCAAUGGACUUCAUUUGUUGAUUACCGUUUUAAAGAAACAACUUUGGAAAUGUGCAAAAGGAAUACUGAAAUUCGAAAGAAACAAACAUUUACACAUACAGGUGGCUCCAAACCUAACUCCAGAAGAAGGGCUGAAAUGAUGGCUGAGACUGGAUGAAGGCCUGAACGUGCAUAACUUUAUCUUGAUACUUAUAAGAAACAAGAUGGUACAUAUGUGAAUGAGGCGGCAAAGGAGAUAUGCGAAACAAUUGAGCUUGGUUUGAGCCAAAGCACGGUGGAUGAGUCUGAAGUUUCGCCGAAUGAUGUUAUUGGUAAAGUGCUAGGAAAAGAGCACUCUGGAAGGGUAAGGUGCUUAGGAUUAGGAGUUGUCUCCAGCAAAGUUUUUAAACAUGCAAGACCUCAUUUUGGUGGUAUGAAUGCUUCAAGUAGUGAUGCUUCAUGUUUGAACCAUUGCCAAGAGAACUACAAUAAAUUGUUGAAUGCUCACAACCAAAGUCAAGAGAACUACAAAGAAAUAGUGAAUUCUCACAAACAAAUGAUGAAUGCUUUCAAGGCAUAUAUGAUAAUGAAAGAAGGGACAAUACCAGAGCAAUUUGCGGGGUUCUUUGCUUCUCCUCCUAUAACGCCAAAAGAUGCAGCUAGUGGAUCCCUAUCACCCAUGGACGCAAGAAGAUCAUCUGAUGGCAGUAAUCCAAGUGACAAUAAUUGAAGUUCUUUAUAAUUGAAUUAGAUAAUUAAUUAUGACAAUGUAAUUAUGUGAUUGGAGCGGAUGUUAGAAU